CCCCUGCAUGUGUGUUUAUCUAUUUUCUACCUGUAUACAUAUGCAGGCACUGAAAACAGACUAGAAGUAGAUACACCAAAAUGUUCACAGGGGUAAUCAGUGCAUGGUGGAGUUAGGGAUAAUUAUUUUAUUCAUUUUGCCUGUCAGUAUUUUCAAUAAUGGCCAUGCAUUACUUUUAGAGAUGGGGGGAAUUAACUCUAGAAGAACAUUAAAGCUUGCCUCUCCCCUCACGUCUUCUUUGGCUUGAGUCACAUCUCACAGAGAGAAAGACCAAGGCACGCUGCACCAAUGAGCUCCCCGAAGUCAUGCUUCCCCUCCCAUGUCGUGCUGGCAUCCUUUCUCCGAGGAAGAGAAUGAGUUUCCAGACAGCAGAGCGGGCCCUUCUCAGGGCCAGGAUGGUCCUGGCAGCAGUCGUUCUCUAACACAUCACGACAUGUGUUUCCAGUAACUCUGUUUGUGGCCGCUUUCUUCUCUUAUCACUCCUCCUGUGACCUUUGCUGGUUGCAGACUUACCGACUGGAGCCAGGUGGAUUUGUUUGAUUUUUGUUGAUGGUUAUUAGGAAGAGGAAGUGCCAGAAGGGAUUACCUCAAGUUUAAACCUAUUUCCAGCAGAGUCCCAGGGCCUUUAAUUACACAUGUUGGGUCUGUUUGGUAAAGAAGUGGUCAAAGAUGUGCUUUUUAUCUCCCUAGGAAUCUCCUGCGACUGGCAGCAUUCCAUUUGUGCCUGAUGUUCCUGUAAACUCCAGCCACAACCCCUGUGGGGAGGAGGGGCUGCUGUGGAGAAUGAGAUAUGAAGUUGAAAGCUGGCAAGUGAAAGAAGACAGACUCCAGGAUUACAUUCUCCAGAGCAUGAGUAUGUUGCUCUUCUUUAUCUAACUUGCUGGUUAGAGGGAUUGUCAAAUUAUAAAGUUGGUUAAGGUCCAAGAUUAAAAAGUUUAAUAUGUAAAAUGCAAUUUUAUUGGGGAGGAUAAUGAGGAUGCUUCGUUACUGAGGGUCUUGGCAUAUUUUGGAGUAACCGAGAGUCAAUAAAUUAGGAACUAUUCCUCAGAUGCUUUUAUUAAAGACAUAGCAAUAUAGGUCAAAUGCACGUACAAUUUCAGAUAAUAAGAUUCCAAAUUUUCCUUCAGCUUAUGCCCCAGAGGGUAUGGAAUUUAGAGAGGAACAUUUAGUUAAAACGGAAACAUGAACAAGUGGGCUUUUCGUUAGAGGCCUUUUUCAUCCUAGGCUGAGGGACCUUACUGCACAAUUCUGCCCCUGGAAGGUUACUUCAUCCACAACCCUCAAUAUCCCAGCAAUAUCCUUUCAGCAAGAGCACACAGAACACAGAUUCUUGCCCCAGUCGCUGGAAUCCUUCAACCCCCUCAAGGAGGGCUAAGCAACAUUCUUUUUCUUGGCAUCAUUGCCUCAUUAGAGCAACUAAAACAGGUCCUGAAAGAUACAGGGCAUGGCCUCCACCAUAAGAGUGCCUUCCCUGGAGUCAAACCCAGCCUCCUCUCUGAUGCUCUUAGCACCACUCUCCAUGACCCUAGCCUGUCCCUGUGCCAGAAGGGCUGUCUGGGGUGGGUGGCAUGAGGGGGUAUUUUAGUUUACCCACAAUUCUGCUGCAAUAUAGACAUGUAGUCUUUAAAUCACAUAUUAGGGUUUUUUAAAGCAUGGCACCAAUACACUGAUGGCACUCUACAUGAUAUUAAGUAGUAUUAAAACAUAGCUUUUUUUUUUUUUUUUUUUGAGAUGAAGUCUCCCUCUGUUGCCCAGGCUGGAGUACAGCGGUGCAAAUCUCGGCUCACUGCAACCUCCGCCUUCCAGGUUCAAGCGAUUCUUCUCCUCUGCCACCCGAGUAGCUGAGGCUACAGGCACGCACCACCACACCUGGCUAAUGCAUUUUUCAUUUUAAUGGUUAUGUAGUUAUUUUAGUGUGGAUUCAAGAAAAAAAUUAGCACAUCAAUGGUUUUUCCAUGGCUAUUAUUUAGGAAUGAGGGUAAGAAAUAACACAUUUAAUUAAAAAUUUUAAAUGGUAGGUAACUUAAUAGCAUAGGUGAUAUAUAAAUAGGGCAAAAUUCAUGAAGGCUACACUUUGGGGAAAAGAUGGCUACAGUUUAGGAAAAAGAGCCACCCAUCCCACUCUGUGGCAGUUGGACAAAUUAACCAAUGUAUAUGAAACACUUGAUAAGUAUAUUAAAAUGCCAAAGACAGCCUUCCACAGUGCUAACAGACAUGGAAUCAGAAAGUUGAAGUUCCGAUCAUAGCUCUAUCAUUUACUUAGCUCUGUGAUCAUGGGCAAAUUAUAACUCUUUUAGAAAUAAAAAUUCCUAUCUCAUAAGAUUUUCUGAGAAUUAAAUGUGAUAACAUUUAUAAAGCAUUUAGCACAGCACCUGGCAUAUAGCAAGUGCUUAGAAAGUAGGAGUGAUUAUAAUUGCAAAGGCCUCAUUUCUAAAGUAGGCUACCCAUGUAUCUGCCCUGAAGAUUACCCUCAAAGAAGAUGCAGCCCGAAUAGUACAAGAACAUUUAGUCCUUUGAUUCAUAGGUCAGCUGCCAGAGAAAUAUGCACGCAGACGCAUUUGCAAACCCCAAAAUUGCAUACAAUUUUAAGACAUUAACAGGCCCCCAAUUGACACCUCCUUUAACCAUAACCCGCACUGACUAUACACCUGGUAAACUAAGAUGGAAAACCAGGGUAACAAGAGGUAUCUCCAACUACUUCCACCAUAGGGAGGCCUGGACUCAUCCCACCUUCCGGGUGCAUUCCUAAGACUGACUGGUUCUCUUUGGGUGCCUCUUAGUACACAGGCUAUCACAGCUUUAUUCUCUAUGUGGGCAGAAUGCAAAUAAGGUCUUGAGGGCCCCCCCGACACCCUCAUCCCCAGUAACUGGCUUGUUCUCCCUGCCCUGGCUCAGCGUAGUACAGCCCAACCUUGCAAUUUAACUCAGUGCUGAUGGAGUUGGGUAAACUGAAGUGCCUAGCAAAUGUACGUGGAAAACCAUGGUCCCUGAUAAGCUGCUGAUACGGUGUGCUUGUGCUUCCGCCAGUUCUAUUUAAACACUGAUAGGCCCUUGGGCAAACAAGAAGCCUUUUGUGCUCUGAGCAUCCACAACUGCCAUCCUGAGCCCAAUCUGGACAUGAGCAAGCCUCACAGUGGGUGGAAGUGAGGGUGGGGAAGAGACAAACUUUUCCUGCAUUUUAUCAGAUACAUGCACACAGGCAAGACCAAGCUGAUCUUCAAACCUGGGGGCCCCAAUCUUUCCCCACACUCCCUACCCUACCUCACAGUGAUCUCUUAACAAUGGAGAUUUAGAAAAAUUUUUCUUUUUCU
rnacentral:lncRNA from 1 species